rnacentral:rRNA from 1 species
UACAAAGGGGGCUAGCGUUGCUCGGAAUCACUGGGCGUAAAGCGCACGUAGGCGGAUUGUUAAGUCAGGGGUGAAAUCCUGGAGCUCAACUCCAGAACUGCCUUUGAUACUGGCGAUCUUGAGUCCGGGAGAGGUGAGUGGAACUCCGAGUGUAGAGGUGAAAUUCGUAGAUAUUCGGAAGAACACCAGUGGCGAAGGCGGCUCACUGGCCCGGUACUGACGCUGAUGUGUGAAAGCGUGGGGAGCAAACAGG